rnacentral:rRNA from 1 species
UACGUAGGGUGCGAGCGUUGCCCGGAUUUAUUGGGCGUAAAGGGCGCGCAGGCGGCCACGCGCGUCCGUUGUGAAAUCGCUCGGCUCAACUGGGCGAGGUCAGCGGAUACGGCAUGGCUGGAGCAAGCUAGGGGGCAAUGGAAUUCCCGGUGUAGUGGUGGAAUGCGUAGAUAUCGGGAAGAACACCCGUGGCGAAGGCGGCUCUCUGGGACGGUACUGGACGCUGAGACGCGAAAGCGUGGGGAGCGAACAGG